UAGGGAAUCUUCCACAAUGGACGCAAGUCUGAUGGAGCAACGCCGCGUGAGUGAAGAAGGUUUUCGGAUCGUAAAGCUCUGUUGUUGGUGAAGAAGGAUAGAGGCAGUAACUGGUCUUUAUUUGACGGUAAUCAACCAGAAAGUCACGGCUAACUACGUGCCAGCAGCCGCUGUAAUACGUAGGUGGCAAGCGUUGUCCGGAUUUAUUGGGCGUAAAGCGAGCGCAGGCGGAAUGAUACGUCUGAUGUGAAAGCCCACGGCUCAACCGUGGAACUGCAUCGGAAACUGUCAUUCUUGAGUGCAGAAGAGGAGAGUGGAAUUCCAUGUGUAGCGGUGGAAUGCGUAGAUAUAUGGAAGAACACCAGUGGCGAAGGCGGCUCUCUGGUCUGCAACUGACGCUGAGGCUCGAAAGCAUGGGUAGCGAACAGG
rnacentral:rRNA from 1 species